AGCCCGGAUGGUGGAAUCGGUAGACACAAGGGAUUUAAAAUCCCUCGGCGUUCGCGCUGUGCGGGUUCAAGU
rnacentral:tRNA from 1 species